GAUGAAGAACGUAGCGAAAUGCGAUAAGUUAUGUGAAUUGCAGAAUUCAGUGAAUCAUCGAAUCUUCGAACGCACAUUGCGCCCGCUAGUAUUCUGGCGGGCAUGCCUGUCCGAGCGUCAUUUCAACCCUCAAGCCCCCGGGCUUGGUGUUGGGGAUCGGCGAGCCUCCGCGCCCGCCGUCCCCUAAAUCUAGUGGCGGUCUCGCUGUAGCUUCCUCUGCGUAGUAGCACACCUCGCACUGGGAAACAGCGCGGCCACGCCGUUAAACCCCCAACUUCUGAACGUUUGACCUCGGAUCAGGUAGGAAUACCCGCUGAACUUAAGCAUAUCAAUAAGCGGAGGA
rnacentral:misc_RNA from 1 species